GGACCAAGGAGUCUAGCAUGUGCGCGAGUCAUUGGGACUCUAUCGAAACCUAAAGGCGCAAUGAAAGUAAAGGUCCUGCAUGCGCGGACCGAGGGAGGAUGGACGGUCUCGAGCGACCGUCUCGCACUCCCGGGGCGUCUCGUUCUCAUCGCGAGAAGAGGCGCACCCAGAGCGUACACGCUGGGACCCGAAAGAUGGUGAACUAUGCCUGGUCAGGACGAAGUCAGGGGAAACCCUGAUGGAGGUCCGUAGCGAUUCUGACGUGCAAAUCGAUCGUCGGAACUGGGUAUAGGGGCGAAAGACUAAUCGAACCAUCUAGUAGCUGGUUCCCUCCGAAGUUUCCCUCAGGAUAGCUGGCGCUCGCUUCUCGCGAGUCUCAUUCGGUAAAGCGAAUGAUUAGAGGCAUUGGGGUCGAAACGGCCUCAACCUAUUCUCAAACUUUAAAUGGGUGAGAUCUCCGGCUUGCUUGAACUAUGAAGCCGCGAGAUAUCGGAUCAGAGUGCCAAGUGGGCCACUUUUGGUAAGCAGAACUGGCGCUGUGGGAUGAACCAAACGCUGAGUUAAAGCGCCUAAAUCGACGCUUAUGGGAUACCAUGAAAGGCGUUGGUAACUUAAGACAGCAGGACGGUGGCCAUG
rnacentral:rRNA from 1 species